rnacentral:rRNA from 1 species
AUACGGAGGGUGCGAGCGUUAAUCGGAAUUACUGGGCGUAAAGGGUGCGUAGGCGGCUUGAUAAGUCGGAUGUGAAAGCCCCGGGCUUAACCUGGGAAUUGCAUUCGAUACUGUCAGGCUAGAGUAUGUCAGAGGUUGGCGGAAUUCCUGGUGUAGCGGUGAAAUGCGUAGAUAUCAGGAGGAACACCAGUGGCGAGGGCGGCUAACUGGGACAAUACUGACGCUGAGGCACGAAAGCGUGGGGAGCAAACAGGAUUAGAUACCCUAGUAGUCC